CUACGGGAGGCACCAGUGGGGGAUAUUGCACAAUGGGCGAAAGCCUGAUGCAGCAACGCCGCGUGAAGGAAGACGGAUUUCGGUCUGUAAACUUCUAUCAGCUGGGAAGAUAAUGACGGUACCAGACUAAGAAGCCCCGGCUAACUACGUGCCAGCAGCCGCGGUAAUACGUAGGGGGCAAGCGUUAUCCGGAUUUACUGGGUGUAAAGGGUACGUAGGCGGUUUGUGAAGUCAGAUGUGAAAAUCCGGGGCUCAACCUCGGAACUGCAUUUGAAACUGGCAAACUAGAGUGCAGGAGAGGAAAGCGGAAUUCCUAGUGUAGCGGUGAAAUGCGUAGAUAUUAGGAAGAACACCAGUGGCGAAGGCGGCUUUCUGGACUGUAACUGACGCUGAGGUACGAAAGCGUGGGGAGCGAACAGGAUUAGAUACCCCAGUAGUC
rnacentral:rRNA from 1 species